CCCGGACCCAGAAGAUCUAGGAGCCACGGGGCCGCAAGCCCGAAACACCAAGGAGGCGGGGGCCCCGCGAGUCCGGCUCCGCCGCCCGCCGGCUGGCGCGUCCUCCGUCCGCUUGCUCGCCGGAGACAUGGAAUCCUGAAGGAGGGCCGAGCUCUUCAAAAGACCACACACCUGCUGUUAAGAAAGUCCCCCUUCUGCCGCCUGGCAAGAGAAAUCUGUGUUCAGUUCACUCGCGGUGUGGACUUCAGUUGGCAAGCCCAGGCCCUGUUGGCCCUACAAGAGGCGGCAGAAGCGUUUCUAGUUCAUUUCUUCGAGGAUGCCUAUCUGCUCUCCUUACACGCCGGCCGCAUCACACUCUUCUCGAAGGAUGUGCAGCUGGCCCGGAGGAUCCGAGGCAUUCAGGAAGGGCUGGGC
rnacentral:lncRNA from 1 species